GGGUAGAAAGGCCUUAGGCUUGCGAGGAUGGGAAAAAUUCAUACGGUGUUCACUCAUUGUUUUGCAGUUUUUCCUACACCUCCCAACCCCAUGGUCUUGUCUUACCU
rnacentral:pre_miRNA from 1 species